AGUGAACGCUGGCGGUAGGCCUAACACAUGCAAGUCGAACGGCAGCACGGGGCAACCUGGUGGCGAGUGGCGAACGGGUGAGUAAUACAUCGGAACGUGCCCAGUCGUGGGGGAUAACGUAGCGAAAGCUACGCUAAUACCGCAUACGAUCUACGGAUGAAAGCGGGGGAUCGCAAGACCUCGCGCGAUUGGAGCGGCCGAUGGCAGAUUAGGUAGUUGGUGGGGUAGAGGCUCACCAAGCCGACGAUCUGUAGCUGGUCUGAGAGGACGACCAGCCACACUGGGACUGAGACACGGCCCAGACUCCUACGGGAGGCAGCAGUGGUGAAUUUUGGACAAUGGGCGCAAGCCUGAUCCAGCCAUUCCGCGUGCAGGAUGAAGGCCCUCGGGUCGUAAACUGCUUUUGUACGGAACGAAAAGGCUCUGGUUAAUACCUGGGGCUCAUGACGGUACCGUAAGAAUAAGCACCGGCUAACUACGUGCCAGCCGCCGCGGUAA
rnacentral:rRNA from 1 species